GUAACGUUAAAGUACUUGUCGUUAACUUUAAUUUAACUGAAAACUUAACACAGAUUGAGUGAAAUCAGCCGCAGCAGUCAAUGUAGGGGUAAUAUUAACGACGUGUUAAAAAAAAAUGUUAUAACGUUAAUGUUACUAAAUGUCUUAUUUGAGGUCAAAAAUCAAUCAACUAAAACAAUGUUUGCUGUUCAUAAAUGCUGUUAAGAGCUAGCUAGCAAUCACCAAUAACUGACCUCUCAGCCGGUCUGUUAACAGUUGCUAGGUAACGUAACUAGCUAGCUAGCUAGUUCACCAACUUUUCUGUAUUUAUAGUUAAAAAAAGAAGAGAAAAAAAUACUUUAUCUACUCCUACUGACAUGUAGAAAGUGAUGCCAGCCUCCUGGGUCUCUUCGGUCCUUCUGGUAAAGCAGUUAGGUGCUGCACAGCUGAUAACCAUACUUGCUGCCAUAGGUGACAAUUGUAAACAGUACCCUAGUAAGAUGGCGGACAGUUAUGCCAUUUGUUAUGACGUCAUGUCAUAUCUAUUGUUCUAUAUCUAUGGUGCUUUUACU